rnacentral:rRNA from 1 species
UGAGUGCUAGGUGUUGGGUCCUUUCCGGGACUCAGUGCCGCAGCUAACGCAUUAAGCACUCCGCCUGGGGAGUACGACCGCAAGGUUGAAACUCAAAGGAAUUGACGGGGGCCCGCACAAGCGGUGGAGCAUGUGGUUUAAUUCGAAGCAACGCGAAGAACCUUACCAGGUCUUGACAUCCCUCUGACCGCUCUAGAGAUAGAGCUUUCCUUCGGGACAGAGGUGACAGGUGGUGCAUGGCUGUCGUCAG